rnacentral:rRNA from 1 species
UACGUAGGGUGCAAGCGUUGUCCGGAAUUAUUGGGCGUAAAGAGCUCGUAGGCGGCCUGUUAAGUCGAACGUGAAAUCCCCGGGCUCAACCCGGGAACUGCGUCCGAUACUGGCAGGCUUGAAUCCGGGAGAGGGAUGCGGAAUUCCAGGUGUAGCGGUGAAAUGCGUAGAUAUCUGGAGGAACACCGGUGGCGAAGGCGGCAUCCUGGACCGGCAUUGACGCUGAGGCGCGAAAGCCAGGGGAGCAAACGGG